GAGUUUGAUCAUGGCUCAGGACGAACGCUGGCGGCGUGCCUAAUACAUGCAAGUCGAGCGGACCUUUCGGGGUCAGCGGCGGACGGGUGAGUAACACGUGGGCAAUCUGCCCGAUACUCUGGGAUAACGCUUGGAAACGAGUGCUAAUACCAGAUGGUCUUCUUGGCCGCAUGGCCGAGAAGGAAAAGACGCGUUCGCGUCGGUGUCGGAUGAGCCCGCGGCGCAUUAGCUAGUUGGUGAGGUAACGGCCCACCAAGGCGACGAUGCGUAGCCGACCUGAGAGGGUGACCGGCCACACUGGGACUGAGACACGGCCCAGACUCCUACGGGAGGCAGCAGUAGGGAAUCUUCCACAAUGGGCGAAAGCCUGAUGGAGCAACGCCGCGUGAGUGAUGAAGGCCUUCGGGUUGUAAAACUCUGUCAUUCGGGACGAACCGGAGUCUGAGGAAAUGCAGACUCUCUGACGAUACCGGAGGAGGAAGCCCCGGCUAACUACGUGCCAGCAGCCGCGGUAAUACGUAGGGGGCAAGCGUUGUCCGGAUUCACUGGGCGUAAAGCGCGCGCAGGCGGUGAUGUAAGUCUGAGGUGAAAACCCGAAGC
rnacentral:rRNA from 1 species